AAGACUUCCCCGAGUGAAAAAAAAGAUGAAGAUACAAGCUGGUGAUGAUCCAGAGCAGCUGGUCUCAGGAAAUGAAGAAAAACCCUGAUCACCUUCUCUACAAACACAAGAAUAAAUUGCGACUAGUCUCAAUGGCUGACACGGAGGAGCAACACAGCGACACGUUAACUCCGACUGCUGCAGUUCCUGUAUGAACUGAGCAACUCUUAAAAUCCAAGGAAAAGCUGAGUGUAUUUUACUUAAAGCUCAGAUGGACCUUGAUGUACUAACAUGCAAGGCUGCAUUCAGGACUUUGUCACAGUGUUAUAUGAAGAGCGGUAACAAGACUUUGUAGUAAUUUGUCUUACUAUUGUCUUAUUUGUUGUGAUUUAGGGUCUGUGCGCACAAGCAGAGGUUUUUGUUUGUAACUGUAACCUCGUUUUCAGAGCCUUGUCUAACAUUUAAUGGUCAUGAAAUAUGUCAGACUUUUUCCUCUACUUAACCAGCUUAGAGAAUUUGAACACCGUGGAGAAAAAGGUGUGCAUUAAGGAUUUUGAACUAUGAUGUUUAAGUGUUGUCACUGCUGAGGAUUCGUGGACACAGAUCCUUAUUCACUAUGCUGCUGUUUACAGUUUAUCUUUUCAUCAGAACAAGCACUUCUAAUUAUACUUUGCUCCUCACUGACAAAACAAGUCCCGUAAAUACACUUUUAUCUUUAAGUUUGGGACAGUAAUCUGUCUUAAUUUAUUAUGUGUUGUAGUUAUCAUAUGGGGAAAAGUCCUGUGGUUAUCCAUCAGUCCUGUUCGAAUAAACCCAAAGUUCAGGAACAUCUUCUUUAGAUCUGUUCAGUUGUAUUCAUGUGGCACCACUUAAACAGUCAACAAAUUUUGACUCAAGUAUGUUAUAUUGUAAGGUAAAGAGCCCAAAGAGUUAAUCUCAGACAAAUGUUCACGCAAAUGUGAAUUACAUUCACUUCAUUAAUGAAGUGAAUGCAAUUCAGUAAUCAAAGGUGUUUGGCUAUAACUGACUACAUGUGUAUACUGUAUCAUAAGUGGACAGAGAUGGAUGUAAACCACACCUUAACCAUUUGGCUGAGGCAAAACUACCACAAGGCAGUGAUUCUAACUAAAAGGUACUCUGGAUAUUAUUAAAUGUGAACAUGUCGUUAAAUAUGACAUUUUUUGUUUGUCAGGUGUCCUGUUUGAAGAAAACACUUGGUAGCCACUUGAAUGAAUGUAAAUAAACACAUUUACAUGAGGGCA
ensembl:lncRNA